rnacentral:lncRNA from 1 species
UCUCUUUUCCUUUUUCUUCAAUUAGGUCCUCUCCUUUCUUUUCUUUCUCUUCAAUUUCAUAUAAAACAUAUAACAUUUAUAUGUUAGAGAAAAAUAAUUAAAUGACUUUCCUAUGCUAUUAAAAAAAAAUAAACAUGUAUGAUAUAAUAAAUUCAUCAUUUCUUACAUUAACUUACAUUUCAAUUUAUUCCAUAACUAAAAUUAUUUCCAUUUCUAUUACAAUCUAUGC